UUAGUACUUCCUCUGUCCGGAAAUACUUGUCGGCGAAAUGGAUGUAUCUACAACUAAAUUGCGUCUAGAUACAUCCAUUCCCCCAACAAAUAUUUUCGGACGGAGGGAGUACAUG
rfam:Triticum aestivum genome assembly, contig: Triticum_aestivum_CS42_TGACv1_scaffold_423370_5BS